CCCUUAGAUGUUCUGGGCCGCACGCGCGCUACACUGAUGCAUUCAACGAGUCUACAACCUGGUCUGAUAGGGCUGGGUAAUCUUUUGAAUAUGCAUCGUGAUUGGGAUAGAUGAUUGCAAUUUUUCAUCUUCAACGAGGAAUGCCUAGUAAACGCAAGUCAUCAGCUUGCAUUGAUUACGUCCCUGCCCUUUGUACACACCGCCCGUCGCUCCUACCGAUUGAAUGAUCCGAUGAAUAUCAUGGAUUGAGGAUGCAAGUAGGUUAGCCUAUCUUCAUCUUCGAGAAGUGAAGUAAAUCUUAUCAUUUAGAGGAAGGAGAAGUCGUAACA
rnacentral:rRNA from 1 species